ACGAACGCUGGCGGCAUGCCUAACACAUGCAAGUCGAACGAGACCUUCGGGUCUAGUGGCGCACGGGUGCGUAACGCGUGGGAACCUGCCCUUAGGUUCGGAAUAACUCCCCGAAAGGGGUGCUAAUACCGGAUAAUGUCUUCGGACCAAAGAUUUAUCGCCUUUGGAUGGGCCCGCGUUGGAUCAGCUAGUUGGUAGGGUAAAAGCCUACCAAGGCGACGAUCCAUAGCUGGUCUGAGAGGAUGAUCAGCCACACUGGGACUGAGACACGGCCCAGACUCCUACGGGAGGCAGCAGUGGGGAAUAUUGGACAAUGGGCGAAAGCCUGAUCCAGCAAUGCCGCGUGAGUGAUGAAGGCCUUAGGGUUGUAAAGCUCUUUUACCCGGGAUGAUAAUGACAGUACCGGGAGAAUAAGCUCCGGCUAACUCCGUG
rnacentral:rRNA from 1 species